CCACUCGACGACGAGGACUUGAUGUCCUAUAUCCUGGCUGGCCUUGAUGAGGAGUUCGAGCCGGUAGUCUCCUCUCUAGUUGGGAGAUCGGAGGCCAUCACCUUUGCUGAAGUUUACUCGCAGCAGCUGAGCUUCGAGU
rnacentral:snoRNA from 1 species